rnacentral:rRNA from 1 species
UACGUAGGGUGCAAGCGUUGUCCGGAAUUAUUGGGCGUAAAGAGCUUGUAGGCGGUUUGUCGCGUCUGCUGUGAAAUUUCGGGGCUCAACCCCGAACUUGCAGUGGGUACGGGCAGACUAGAGUGUGGUAGGGGAGACUGGAAUUCCUGGUGUAGCGGUGAAAUGUGCAGAUAUCAGGAGGAACACCGAUGGCGAAGGCAGGUCUCUGGGCCACUACUGACGCUGAGAAGCGAAAGCAUGGGGAGCGAACAGG